rnacentral:misc_RNA from 1 species
AUGGGUAUCAAAUAAAAGGGCUUGACAAGAAGAAUACAGUGCACUAUACAACCUCAAUAUUUAAGAUGGGCCUUGCAAUAAUGAAUAAAACAGAAUGCGAAUAAAAACUAAAAACUAGAAAAUAAAACUAGGUAAAAAAACUUUUUAAGUUAAACGGUUUUAUGUCAAACGAUUGUAGACAAUUGACGUGCCCCACGGUUUUAUUUUAGUCUAGUCUAUGCAUAUGUUUAUAAUUCCCACGACUGUAUCUAUUUUAUUAUUUUUUGGUUUUUAGUACAUUUAUUUUAAACAUUGCAAUGUAUGUUUGACAUAAAACCGUUUAACUUAAAAAGUUUUUUUACCUAUUUUUUUUUGGUAAU